rnacentral:rRNA from 1 species
AGGUUCGAAGGCGAUCAGAUACCGCCCUAGUUCUGACCGUAAACGAUGCCACCUGACGAUCCGCCAGGGUUACUACCAUGACUCGGCGGGCAGUCCCCGGGAAACCCAAGCCUUCGGGUUCCGGGGGAAGUAUGGUUGCAAAGCUGAAACUUAAAGGAAUUGACGGAAGGGCACCACCAGGAGUGGAGCCUGCGGCUUAAUUUGACUCAACACGGGGAACCUCACCCGGCCCGGACACCGCGAGGAUUGACAGAUUGAGAGCUCUUUCUCGAUUCGGUGGGUGGUGGUGCAUGGCCGUUCUUAGUUGGUGGAGCGAUUUGUCUGGUUAAUUCCGAUAACGAACGAGACUCUAGCCGGUUAAGUAGCCCGAGCGGUUUUUGAUCUUUGCCGUUCAUCCCCGUUCGACCUUUGCGUCGUCCCCUUCUUUCGGGCCGUCUCCGUCGUUUGUUUUUCCGUUUCCCGUCCGUUUCCUAGAUUGUCCGUCGUCCCGUCGUUCGUCGACGGGUGCCGACGGUUUUCGUGGUUUCGACGCGGGGGCGGAAGGCGGCGGCGGAACGGUGCGUUCAGGGGUAUACGCUCGGUCGUUUCGGGGUGAAAGCAUAACCGAAGGCCGCCGG